rnacentral:tRNA from 1 species
CGCCAGAUAGCUCAGUUGGUAGAGCACCUGACUAGAGACUCAGGGGGCCCGGGUUCGAAUCCCGGUCUGGUCC